GCCAUAUCUCUAGCCUCUGUUUUCUUUUUAAAAUUGAAAUGGUUUUUCAUAUAAUACAUUCUGAUUUUCCCUCCCCACCCCUUCCAAAUCCUUCUCACCUCCCCACCCACGUAGUUCAUGACCUUCCUUGCUCUAAAACACAUAAAACAAACACAUACAAAAAGCACCAAGAAACACCCCAAAACCUCACAAUUGAAAGCAAAAUGUAUAAGCAAGAGACCAAUAAGACAAAAAAGUGUAAACAAAACAAAAUGAGUAAAAAAAAAAUCUACCAAAAUUAUCAUUGAAUUUACUUUGUGUUGGCCAACUAACUACUCUUGGGCUUGGAGGUCUACCCUGAAGUGUGGUUGAUAUACCAGGUGAGACGGUAUUAGCGAAAGGCAGUUUUUCCUUUGCCGGCAGUUAUGAUUUGCACAUAGCUUAGGGACUUUCCCUCCUCAGUGCUUGGACUUCACCUGUCUUAAACCUGUGCAGGUGCUGUGUAUGCUGCCAUAGUCUCUGUGUGCUCAUACGUGUGUCAGUCCUGCUCUGUCUGGAACUCAUCCCACAUGAAGUGGGGAAGGAUCCUUGAGCCCUGCCCAGCAACUAAGGAGCUGUGGACAGUUGUUGUCUUCUAGGGAAGGGAGAGUCAUUUUUCUUUAAAGGUGUGGCUCCUGGUAGGUAGGCCAUGCUCAAGUAGAUCAUUCAAUACCCAGGACUAUCUGGAUAGCAUUAAUUGGACUCAGGGUUAUAUAUAUAUAUAAAAAAGACAACAUGACAUUGUGGGGUAUAGGAGGUUGGACAUAUCUAGGAAGAACUAGGGAAAGAGUGGGUGACUUUUAUCAAAAAAACAUUGUAUGAUAUUCUCAAGGAAUUAAUAAAAAUAUUUUGGUAGAGUGC
rnacentral:lncRNA from 1 species